GCCUCAAUGGCUCAGCUGGCAGAGCGGCUGAUUUGUAAUCAGCAGGUCGCGAGUUCAAAUCUCGCUUGAGGCU
rnacentral:tRNA from 1 species